GCGCCUGUAGCUCAACCGACAGAGCGCCUGGUUACGAGCCAGGAGGCUGGGGGUUCGAAUCCUCUCGGGCGCC
rnacentral:tRNA from 1 species